rnacentral:rRNA from 1 species
GAUGAACGCUGGCGGCGUGCCUAAUACAUGCAAGUAGAACGCUGAAGGAGGAGCUUGCUCUUCUGGAUGAGUUGCGAACGGGUGAGUAACGCGUAGGUAACCUGCCUGGUAGCGGGGGAUAACUAUUGGAAACGAUAGCUAAUACCGCAUGACAACAGUUAUUGCAUGAUAACUGUUUAAAAGGGGCAACUGCUCCACUACCAGAUGGACCUGCGUUGUAUUAGCUAGUUGGUGAGGUAACGGCUCACCAAGGCGACGAUACAUAGCCGACCUGAGAGGGUGAUCGGCCACACUGGGACUGAGACACGGCCCAGACUCCUACGGGAGGCAGCAGUAGGGAAUCUUCGGCAAGGGACGGAAGUCUGACCGAGCAACGCCGCGUGAGUGAAGAAGGUUUUCGGAUCGUAAAGCUCUGUUGUAAGAGAAGAACGAGUGUGAGGGUGGAAAGUUCACACUGUGACGGUAUCUUACCAGAAAGGGACGGCUAACUACGUG